AAGUCGUAACAAGGUCUCCGUUGGUGAACCAGCGGAGGGAUCAUUACCGAGUUUACAACUCCCAAACCCAAUGUGAACGUUACCAAACUGUUGCCUCGGCGGGAUCUCUGCCCCGGGCGCGUCGCAGCCCCGGACCAAGGCGCCCGCCGGAGGAAAAACAACCAAAACUCUUUUGUAUACCCCCUCGCGGGUUUUCUUACUUCUGAGAACUUCUCGGCGCCCCUUAGCGGGCGUUUCGAAAAUGAAUCAAAACUUUCAACAACGGAUCUCUUGGUUCUG
rnacentral:misc_RNA from 1 species